UACGUAGGGUGCAAGCGUUGUCCGGAAUUAUUGGGCGUAAAGAGCUCGUAGGCGGUCUGUCGCGUCGGCUGUGAAAACUCGGGGCUCAACCCCGAGCCUGCAGUCGAUACGGGCAGACUAGAGUCCGGCAGGGGAGACUGGAAUUCCGGGUGUAGCGGUGGAAUGCGUAGAGAUCCGGAAGAACACCGGUGGCGAAGGCGGCCUGCUGGGCAGUUGCUGACACUGAGGCGCGACAGCGUGGGGAGCAAACAGG
rnacentral:rRNA from 1 species